rnacentral:rRNA from 1 species
CACGUAGGGUGCGAGCGUUGUCCGGAAUUAUUGGGCGUAAAGAGCUCGUAGGCGGUGUGUCGCGUCGGCCGUGAAAACCUGCAGCUUAACUGUGGGCUUGCGGUCGAUACGGGCAUCACUGGAGUUCGGCAGGGGAGACUGGAAUUCCUGGUGUAGCGGUGAAAUGCGCAGAUAUCAGGAGGAACACCGGUGGCGAAGGCGGGUCUCUGGGCCGAUACUGACGCUGAGAUACGAAAGCGUGGGGAGCAAACAGG